AACGAACGCUGGCGGCGUGCCUAAUACAUGCAAGUAGAACGCACAGUUUAUACCGUAGCUUGCUACACCAUAAACUGUGAGUUGCGAACGGGUGAGUAACGCGUAGGUAACCUGCCUGGUAGCGGGGGAUAACUAUUGGAAACGAUAGCUAAUACCGCAUAAUAUUAAUUAUUGCAUGAUAAUUGAUUGAAAGAUGCAAUUGCAUCACUACCAGAUGGACCUGCGUUGUAUUAGCUAGUAGGUGAGGUAACGGCUCACCUAGGCGACGAUACAUAGCCGACCUGAGAGGGUGAUCGGCCACACUGGGACUGAGACACGGCCCAGACUCCUACGGGAGGCAGCAGUAGGGAAUCUUCGGCAAUGGACGAAAGUCUGACCGAGCAACGCCGCGUGAGUGAAGAAGGUUUUCGGAUCGUAAAGCUCUGUUGUAAGAGAAGAACGGGUGUGAGAGUGGAAAGUUCACACUGUGACGGUAUCUUACCAGAAAGGGACGGCUAACUACGUG
rnacentral:rRNA from 1 species